rnacentral:lncRNA from 1 species
UUAUGUUGUUUUACUGUUGCACUUCAGAGUUAUGUUGUUUUACUGUUGCACUUCAGAGUUAUGUUGUUUCAUUGUUUUUGUUUACUGUUGCACUUCAGAGUUAUGUUGUUUUACUGUUGUACUUCAGAGUUAUGUUGUUUUACUGUUGCACUUCAGAGUUAUGUUGUUUUACUGUUGUACUUCAGAGUUAUGUUGUUUUAUUGUUGCACUUCAGAGUUGUGUUGUUUUACUGUU